GCGCGAAAACUUCGCACUGUGCGAAAGCACGACGAGGGAAUCCCAAGUGCUGGCUCGUUAGAGUCAGCUGUUUUUAUGUCUAAAAAGCAUAGAGAGUAAGAGCUGGGUAAGACGGGUGCCAGCCGCCGCGGUAAUACCUGCAGCUCGAGUGGUGGCCGCUAUUAUUGGGCCUAAAACGUCCGUAGCCUGUUUACUAAAUGCCUAGGUAAAUUGUGUGGCUUAACCAUACGAAUUCUGGGUAGACUGGUAAACUUGAGAUCGGGAGAAGCUAGAGGUACUCCUGGGGUAGAGGUGAAAUUCUGUAAUCCUAGGGGGACCACCAGUGGCGAAGGCGUCUAGCUAGAACGAGUUUGACGGUGAGGGACGAAGCCCUGGGGCGCAAACGGGAUUAGAUACCCCGGUAGUCCAGGGUGUAAACGCUGCUUGCUUGAUGUUGGUUGGGCUCCGAGCCCAAUCAGUGUCGGAGAGAAGUUGUUAAGCAAGCUGCCUGGGAAGUACGGUCGCAAGACUGAAACUUAAAGGAAUUGGCGGGGG
rnacentral:rRNA from 1 species